GCUUCACGCCGUCAGGUCUAUGGUUACAAUACAAAUUGUGUCACUCUCGAAUACUAAUUAUUGUUUACUAAUUUUAAUACAUUACCUAGAAAUAUUUAAACAGUGAAGUGACUUCUAAUGAAAUUACAUUAAAAGUGAUCUUAGUAUGUUUUGGUAUUGCCAAAUUGUGCCAGCAUUAUUGAGUUCUCCCUUAAUUGGAAGUGUGUUAUCGUUCCUGUUUUGAAUGUGUUUACGACUUGAGUUUUAAAUUUUGUUAUAAAUGUGAGUAAAUAUUGUAAGUGAUUGUGAUUAUAUAAUUGUGUCUCUAAUGUGAUGCUUUACAAUUUCGAGUAUUUACUUAUCAUUUGGAUUGCUGGUUAUUGGGGAAAGUAACACGACUUGCAGGUUGUCAACGAGUUUCAGGCAAGACACAGAACGAAUCUUCAAAGUUAAGGUAAGCUUGGGGCACACACACACAUUCACAACUUUGAUAAAAUAUAAAUCUUAUCUUGACUCGCUGUUCAGUUUCGAUAUUUUUCCGAUGAAGAGCUCAGAUGAGAAAUAACAUUCUUUAACAAAGUUCGCGGACAAUACUACUGGAUUUAAUACAAUUCAAUUUCACAGAUACCGGUGGUGUUGUUCUCAGUACUUUACUUACGUUUCAAUUCAAGAGAAACGUAUUCGAACAUAUGAUAAGUUAAAAUCGGUUCACAGCCGGUGAAGAUUUUAAAUAGUUGUAGGGCCAAUCAACAGCCAUGUGAAGGGGGAACUACACUUCAUUCAGACGAAAAGUGGGCAUCUGCAACUGAUCUAUGAACCAUACAUAUUUGUGACCGAUAGUGUGCGAAGCGGGAGGACAUUCUGGAG